rnacentral:rRNA from 1 species
UACGUAGGGAGCAAGCGUUGUUCGGAUUUACUGGGCGUAAAGGGCGCGUAGGCGGCCAUUCAAGUCACUUGUGAAAUCUCCGGGCUUAACCCGGAGCGGCCAAGUGAUACUGUCGUGCUAGAGUGCGGAAGGGGCUACUGGAAUUCUCGGUGUAGCGGUGAAAUGCGUAGAUAUCGAGAGGAACACCUGCGGCGAAGGCGGGUAGCUGGGCCGACACUGACGCUGAUGCGCGAAAGCCAGGGGAGCGAACGGG